CAAGAUUCUAAGGAUCUGCCUUAUGAUCAACACUAAAUAGCAUAUUAAUAUUAAUAAAUAUCUGUAUGGCGUAAAACUGAGACAUUCACCAGCAAAUAUACAAAUACAUAACUACUCUUUGAUUAAUUUUAGGAUAAUCCAUCAAAAGUAAUGUGAAUAUUAUACUUUCUUUUUUUCCAAUAUUAAACCAUUUUUAAUUGACACAUAAUUGUACAUCUUUAUGGGAUACAAUUUGAUGUUUCAAUACACAUAUAUGUUAUAUAGUGAUCAAAUUAGGGCAGCUAGCAUUUCCAUCAUCUCAUGUAUUUAUCAUUUUUUUGUGGUGAGAACAUUCACAAGCCUCUCUUCUAGAUAUUUUGUAUUAUACAAUACAUUAUUGUUAACCAUAGUCACCCUAUUGUGCAACAGAACACUAGAACUUAUUCCUUCUAUCUCAUUGUAACUUGUACCUGUUGACCUACCUCUCCCCAUCUUUCCUUCCCCCCACCCCUCCCCACUUAGUCUCUGGUAAUUACUGUUCCACUACCUGCUUCUACAAUAUCAACUUUUGUAUUUGUUUUUCUGUGUUUGACUUAUUUCACAUAAAAUUAUAUCCUCCAGGUUCAUCCAUGUUGUCCAAAUGACAGGGUUUCAUUUUCUUUUAUGGCUGAAAAGUAUUUUAUUGUGUAUAUUUACCACAUUUUCUUUAUGUGUUUAUCCAUUGUUGGACACUAAUUUGAUUCCAUAUAUGAGCUAUUGUAAAUAAUGCUGCAAUAAACAUGGGAGUGCAGAUACAUUUUCAACAUGUAUAUUUCUGUUGGAUAUAUCCCUAGUAGGGGGAUUGCUGGGUAA
rnacentral:lncRNA from 1 species